rnacentral:misc_RNA from 1 species
GAAAUGCGAUAUGUAAUGUGAAUUGCAGAAUUCAGUGAAUCAUCGAAUCUUUGAACGCACCUUGCGCUCCUUGGUAUUCCUUGGAGCAUGCCUGUUUGAGUAUCAUGAAAUCUUCAAAGUAAAUCUUUUGUUAACUCAAUUGGUUUCUACUUUGGUAUUGGAGGUCUUUGCAGCUUCACACCUUCUCCUCUUUGUUCAUUAGCUGGAUCUCAGUGUUAUGCUUGGUUCCACUCGGCGUGAUAAGUUAUCUAUCGCUGAGGACACUGUAAAAGGUGGCCAAGGUAAAUGCAGAUGAACCGCUUCUAAUAGUCCAUUGACUUGGACAAUACUUUUAUGAUCUGAUCUCAAAUCAGGUAGGACUACCCGCUGAACUUAAGC